UUUUUUUACAGAUAUUUGCUAUAUAGCUAAAUAUAUAAUAUCGUCACCAAACCAUUCUAGAAGCAAACAUGGAAUUCGUCAAAAUAAUUUUUUUCAUCUCUCUCAUCUGUGCCUCUUAUGCAAAGAUAAAAGUACCCGCUGGAGCCUGCGUUUCCAAAAUCGUGAAUGGGAAACUCGUUCAAGUUGGAGAUUGCGAGAAAAACGAUGGAUCCGAUAUCGUCAGACUGAUCAAGAAGAGUCGUGAUGAGAAGA